AGUCGAACGGUAGCACAGAGAGCUUGCUCUCGGGUGACGAGUGGCGGACGGGUGAGUAAUGUCUGGGAAACUGCCUGAUGGAGGGGGAUAACUACUGGAAACGGUAGCUAAUACCGCAUAACGUCGCAAGACCAAAGAGGGGGACCUUCGGGCCUCUUGCCAUCAGAUGUGCCCAGAUGGGAUUAGCUAGUAGGUGGGGUAACGGCUCACCUAGGCGACGAUCCCUAGCUGGUCUGAGAGGAUGACCAGCCACACUGGAACUGAGACACGGUCCAGACUCCUACGGGAGGCAGCAGUGGGGAAUAUUGCACAAUGGGCGCAAGCCUGAUGCAGCCAUGCCGCGUGUAUGAAGAAGGCCUUCGGGUUGUAAAGUACUUUCAGCGGGGAGGAAGGUGUUGUGGUUAAUAACCGCAGCAAUUGACGUUACCCGCAGAAGAAGCACCGGCUAACUCCGUGCCAGCAGCCGCGGUAAUACGGAGGGUGCAAGCGUUAAUCGGAAUUACUGGGCGUAAAGCGCACGCAGGCGGUCUGUCAAGUCGGAUGUGAAAUCCCCGGGCUCAACCUGGGAACUGCAUUCGAAACUGGCAGGCUAGAGUCUUGUAGAGGGGUAGAAUUCCAGGUGUAGCGGUGAAAUGCGUAGAGAUCUGGAGGAAUACCGGUGGCGAAGGCGGCCCCCUGGACAAAGACUGACGCUCAGGUGCGAAAGCGUGGGGAGCAACAGGAUUAGAUACCCUGGUAGUCCACGCCGUAAACGAUGUCGACUUGGAGGUUGUGCCCUUGAGGCGUGGCUUCCGGAGCUAACGCGUUAAGUCGACCGCCUGGGGAGUACGGCCGCAAGGUUAAAACUCAAAUGAAUUGACGGGGGCCCGCACAAGCGGUGGAGCAUGUGGUUUAUUCGAUGCAACGCGAAGAACCUUACCUACUCUUGACAUCCAGAGAACUUUCCAGAGAUGGAUUGGUGCCUUCGGGAACUCUGAGACAGGUGCUGCAUGGCUGUCGUCAGCUCGUGUUGUGAAUGUUGGGUUAAGUCCCGCAACGAGCGCAACCCUUAUCCUUUGUUGCCAGCGGUUAGGCCGGGAACUCAAAGGAGACUGCCAGUGAUAAACUGGAGGAAGGUGGGGAUGACGUCAAGUCACAUGGCCCUUACGAGUAGGGCUACACACGUGCUACAAUGGCGCAUACAAAGGAAGCGACCUCGCGAGAGCAAGCGGACCUCAUAAAGUGCGUCGUAGUCCGGAUUGGAGUCUGCAACUCGACUCCAUGAAGUCGGAAUCGCUAGUAAUCGUAGAUCAGAAUGCUACGGUAAUACGUUCCGGGCCUUGUACACACCGCCCGUCACACCAUGGGAGUGGGUUGCA
rnacentral:rRNA from 1 species